rnacentral:rRNA from 1 species
GACGAACGCUGGCGGCGUGCUUAACACAUGCAAGUCGAGCGGAAAGGCCCUGCUUUUGUGGGGUGCUCGAGUGGCGAACGGGUGAGUAACACGUGAGUAACCUGCCCUUGACUUUGGGAUAACUUCAGGAAACUGGGGCUAAUACCGGAUAGGAGCUCCUGCUGCAUGGUGGGGGUUGGAAAGUUUCGGCGGUUGGGGAUGGACUCGCGGCUUAUCAGCUUGUUGGUGGGGUAGUGGCUUACCAAGGCUUUGUCGGGUAGCCGGCCUGAGAGGGUGACCGGCCACAUUGGGACUGAGAUACGGCCCAGACUCCUACGGGAGGCAGCAGUGGGGAAUAUUGCACAAUGGGCGGAAGCCUGAUGCAGCAACGCCGCGUGCGGGAUGACGGCCUUCGGGUUGUAAACCGCUUUCGCCUGUGACGAAGCGUGAGUGACGGUAAUGGGUAAAGAAGCACCGGCUAACUACGUG